AUGGCUGCUUCAACGACGACAGAGAAUAAUUCAUAUGCUAUUAUGGAGGAAGACACGCUUUUUACGUUGAUCAAUUCAUCGGAAUUCCUUUCCUUCUGGGCAAUGAACCAACUUAUUGACAUCAUGUCAUUUUCAAAUUUCUUUUAUUUCAUUGGUGUCCUUCUUAUUGCUGCUCAUUGGCUUAUGGCAUACGGCCGGGCGGGAUGUAACCAGCCUCUGAGCUGCGGCCCUCCACCACCGCCCAUAAGCUACCAGGAGGAGCUUUACGACUUCCCGGCCUGCGGGGCCGGGCGCACCAAGGGCCAGACGCGGUGCGUGCCAACCGGCCGGCGCCUAGCAGAUGUGAGCCACCUUACCCAGAGAGGCGAACCUGGAUUAGGAAAGUUGACAUUAAUCAACUCUUUACUCCUCACAGAUUUGUAUUCUCCAGAGUAUCCAGGUCCUUCUCAUAUAAUUAAAAAGAAUGUACAGGUGGACAAUCCAAAGCUUUAAUCAAAGAACGUGGCGUUCAGGUGCUGCUGCUCACAAUAGUUGAUACCCCAGGAUUUGGAGAUGCACUGGAUAAUAGUAAUUGCUGGCAGCUUGUUAUCGAUUACAUUGAUAGUAAAUGCAGAAUCGUGAAGGAACAGACGUCAGAUGCCUGAUAGCAAGGUGCAGUGUUGUUAAUACUUAAUUGCUCCUUCAGGACAUGGACUUAAACCAUUGGAUAUUGAGCUUAUGAAGCGUAUGCAUGAAAAAGUGAUUAUCAUCCCACUUAUUGCCAAAGCAGACACACUCACACCAGAAGAAUGCCAACAGUUUAAAAAACAGAUAAUGAAAGAAAUCCAAGAACAUAAAAUUAAAAUAUAUGAAUUUCCAGAAACAGAUGAUGAUGAAGAAAAUAAACUUGUUAAAAAGGUAAAGGACCGUUUGCCUCUUGCUGUGGUAGGUAGUAACACUAUCAUUGAAGUUAAUGGCAAAAGGGUCAGAGGAAGGUAGUAUCCUUGGGGUGCUGCUGAAGUUGAAAAUGGUGAACAUUGUGAUUUUACAAUUCUAAGAAAUAUGUUGAUAAGAACACACACGCAGAACUUGAAAGAUGUUACUAAUAAUGUCCACUACAAGAGGUACAGAAGCAGAAAACUGGCAGCUGUGACUUAUAAUGGAGUUACUAACAACAAGAAUAAAGGGCAGCUGACUAAGAGCCCUCCGGCACAAAUGGAAGAAAGAAGGUCUAAAAUGAAGAAGAUAGAGAUGGAGCUAAAAUGAAGAAGAUAGAGAUGGAGAUGGAGCAGGUGUUUGAGAUGAAGGUCAAAUAAAAAGUUCAAAAACUAAAGGACUCUGAAGCUGAGCUCCAGCGGCGCCAUGAGCAAAUGAAAAAGAAUUUGGAAGCACAACACAAAGAAUUAGAGGAAAAACGUCGUCAGUUUGAGGAUGAGAAAGCAAACUGGGAAGCUCAACAACGUAUUUCAGAACAACAGAACUCUCUGAGAACCUUGGAAAAGAACAAUAAGAAAGGGAAGAUCUUUUAAAGUAUUGACCACCAGUUACGUAUUAGUUGCCAAUAUGCCAGCUUGGACAUCAGUGUUUGUUGGAUCCGUUUGACCAAUAUGCACCAGUUUUAUCCAUAAUGAUGGAUUUAACAGCAUGACAAAAAUUAUUUUUUUGUUGUUCUUGAUGGAGAUUAAGAUGCCUUGAAUUGUCUAGGGUGUUGUGUACUUAGAAAGUAACAGCUCUAAGUACCUUUCCUACAUUUUCUUUUUCUUUUUU